UGGUGUAGCUCAGUUGGUAGAGCGACGCACUCGUAAUGCGUAGGUCGCCGGUUCGAGUCCGGCCUCC
rnacentral:tRNA from 1 species